rnacentral:rRNA from 1 species
AAGUGGUGUCACGGUGUUUGUAGGUGAGCUGGUGGAAGGAUCAUUA